rnacentral:lncRNA from 1 species
UGCUAUUACAGCGGCAAUAUUGUAAAAAAAAGGCUUUAAAAUUUAUUUUAAAAUGAUCUCAUGCCUUCUGCUGAAAAAGGCUUCAUUCCCUGAAGUGAAUGUAAUAAUACAUAACAGUUAUAAAAAAUCAAAAUGUAGAGAUCGUGACUGUACAAGCCCAAAUUUCCCGGGCCCAAACAAAAAAAAAACAAAGCAGGCAAUUUCAGUUUUUUUAGCAGGCCUAAACUCGUCUAAGGCCCAACAAAUAAAUGGCCCAAUAACAAAAUUAACCUAAGCCCAACACAGACAUCAGCCCAAAACACAAAAAAAAAAAACAAAAGAGGAAAACCCUAGCCGCAUCUGCCUUAGCGCCGCAACAGCCUCCAGCAGCCUCUCCAAGCGCCGCACGAUUCGGGGCCAACCCCUCUCCACGCGCGCCAAACUCUCCACGAUUUCCUGCAAAACGAAUUCAAGAAGUCCAAUAGAGAGGAAAUAGCAGAUAGAUUCGAUUUAGUUUUUUAUUUUGGGCUAUAAAAAGCCAUUGAUAUUGUGUAAAAGGGGAAAAAAAGACAAUAGCAGAGAGAAUAUACAGAUAAAGCUUGUGUUUUUUUUAGAGGUGAUUUGUUUUUUUUAUUUUCGCUGUGUCCAUUAUCAAUUUUUUAUAUAUAUAUUUAUUAUUUCAUAAAAUAAUAAGAAGGGAAAAAGGAAGAGACCACUUACCUGCUUCACCGAGCCUCCCUCCGUCACGGCCGGAGGCUGAGAUGACGAUCGGUUGCGGCGCGCGGCGAAGAAUGGUGCGAGGACGCUAGGGAUUAAACCCUAGCAGAGCACCUAAGAGAUUUUUUUUUAUUUUUUUAUUUAUUUUUUUCUU